CCAAAUUUGAUUUAUAUAUUAUUUCCGCCCUAAUUUCAAAAUUAGGCGAAGGUUUCUUCUUUCUCACCAUUUCUACCCAGAACUUGCUAUCUGCAGUGUAAUCGAAUCGAAUCGAAGUAAUAUAGCCACCUUGUUGUAGCAAAGUUUUGCUGUUAGUUGGAAAACCAAAGCUCUUUAGAUCCACAGAAGAAUGUCUGGCAGAAAAGAAACUGUUUUAGAUUUGGCAAAAUUUGUCGACAAGGGUGUGCAGGUCAAGCUUACAG